rnacentral:rRNA from 1 species
UACGGGGGGGGCAAGCGUUGUUCGGAAUUACUGGGCGUAAAGGGCUCGUAGGCGGCCAACUAAGUCGGACGUGAAAUCCCUCGGCUUAACCUAGGAACUGCGUCCGAUACUGGAUGGCUUGAAUUUGGGAGAGGGAUGCGGAAUUCCAGGUGUAGCGGUGAAAUGCGUAGAUAUCUGGAGGAACACCGGUGGCGAAGGCGGCAUCCUGGACCAACACUGACGCUGAGUGAGCGAAAGCCAGGGGAGCAAACAGG